AGAACGAACGCUGGCGGCGUGGAUAAGACAUGCAAGUCGAGCGCUAAUUCAAGGGUAGCAAUAUUCUUGAGUUGGAGCGGCGCAAGGGUGCGUAACACGUGGGUAAUUUGCCGUGAAGUUGGGGAUAACUCGCUGAAAGGCGAGCUAAUACCGAAUGUAGAAAUUGAAAGGCUAUUCUUUUGUAUUUUUGGAAGGUUGGGGACCGUAAGGCCUGACGCUUCACGAUAACGCCCGCGGCCUAUCAGUCUUAGUUGGUAGUAGGUAAUGGCUACGACCGAAGG
rnacentral:rRNA from 1 species